rnacentral:rRNA from 1 species
UACGGAGGAUCCGAGCGUUAUCCGGAAUCAUUGGGUUUAAAGGGUCCGUAGGCGGCUCUGUAAGUCAGUGGUGAAAUCUCACGGCUCAACCGUGAAAUUGCCAUUGAUACUGCAGGGCUUGAAUGGCCAGGAAGUAACUAGAAUAUGUAGUGUAGCGGUGAAAUGCUUAGAUAUUACAUGGAAUACCGAUUGCGAAGGCAGGUUACUACUGGUUUAUUGACGCUGAUGGACGAAAGCGUGGGUAGCGAACAGG